rnacentral:lncRNA from 1 species
UCAAGAGCUAGCAAGUCUUGGCAAUAUGGAUAAAACUCACCAAAGGAAAUGGGAAAGAGUCCCACAUCAAGAUAGAAGUUAGGGGAAUCCCUUUGUCACACCCCAAUUUUCGAAGGAUAAAUUUUCAAAAAUUUGGGCAUGAUAUAUCUCAAAAUAUUAAUAAUCUCAAAACCUAUUCAACAAACUUCAAACAAAACUAAAACUCAAUUUCUGAAAUGUAAAUGUCACAUAAUUCAACGCUGAGUUAAAUAUUACAUUUCCUUGUUUACAUAAACUUGAAAGUCAAGACAAUGAAAUCACUCACGUGAGUUUAAUAUUGUCUACCAAAUAUAAAAAUAUAAAGUGUACAACAUCUAAAACCCUACUAUUAUGCCUUCACCUCAACCCUGCUGAAACACCACCUGCAGGUCUAACCCUUCCACCAUAAAUUGGUGCACCGGGUUGUAAAACAACAAACCCGGUAAGCUAAAAAGCUUGUAUGAGUAAAUCUACUAUAAAUGACUCAACCUAAUAUCACAUAUGAAUAAAAUUGGUAAUUCCAGUAUUAGAAACUUAGUUCAAGAAUUGCCUAAAAGCAAAAGAAUUCAAAAGAGAGUAAUUAAGAAAACACAACAAUUCAUAAUCAAUCAAAUCAUAAAUGAAAUCCUACAAAAGCAUAGUUCAAGAAUUCAGCUAAAAAUCAUACAAUUAAGAUUAAAGAAUCUCCUGCGGAUAAGCAUAGUUCAGGAGAUACUCAAAGCAAGAAAUUUAAAUAGCAACACAUAAGAACAUCACACAAUCAUUUCUCUACUCUUACUUAUGAGUUCGUCAACACUUAGUCAUUCCCCAUAAGUAACCAAACAAACGCGUACUCAUGGGUUCGUCAACACUUAGACAUCCGCCAUGAAGUACCGACAGACAAACUAGAGCUCUAUACUGACUGUAACCAAUCACCCGGCCAAGGCUUGGUUCCCGGUCCACCACGAAGACUCCUAAUCUAAUGCACACAAUCACCACUAAGGCACACAUCCAUAACUAAUGCACACAAUCACCACUAAGGCACACAUUCACAACUAAGACACACAAUCACCACUAAGACACACAAUAAUCACAUCAAUAGAACCAAAAUUAUUAUGGUCACAAGAACCUUAAAAAUAAUCAUUUAAAUAGGAAAACUUGUUUUCUCUUACCUAUGAGCCGUUGACGAUUAAGCUCAUAUAUUUUAAAACAAACAAAAAAAAAUUUUUAAAUUAUAAUCAUCAUAAUCAUCAUCAUAAUAAUUAUCAUCAUCAUCAUUAUCAUCAUCAUCAUCAUCAUCAUAAUAAUUAUCAUCAUCAUCAUCAUCAAAAUCAUCAUCACAAUCAUCAUCAUAAUCAUCAUCACAAUCAUUAUCAUCAUCAUCAUCAUAAUCAUCAUCAUAAUAAUUAUCAUAAUCAUCAUCAUCAUAAUCAUAAUAAUAAUAAUAAUAAUAAUAAUCAUCAUCAUCAUAAUAAUUAUCAUCAUCAUCAUCAUCAAAAUCAUCAUCACAAUCAUCAUCAUAAUCAUCAUCAAAAUCAUUAUCAUCAUCAUCAUUAUCAUCAUCAUCAUCAUCAUCAUCAUUAUCAUCACAAUCAUCAUUAUAAUCAUCAUCAAAAUCAUUAUCAUCAUCAUCAUCGUCAAAAUCAUCAUAAUAAUUUGGUCCAAAGUAAACCUUGGUGAGAUUUACUCACCUAAAUACUCCCGCUGCGUCUUCACAAAAAUACAAGGCCCAGCUCAAAAUCAACUUCACAAGUUACCUAAAUAACACCAUUAAUAACCUUAGUAACCAUUGUGAUAAAAGAUAUCAAAACACCCUUAAACUAAACCUUAGCCCAAAGGAAGAUAACCUUCUAAGGUCGUCGAACUUAACGACCCAAUAUAAAGUCCUAGCAUGCAAUCCUUGCUCAAAUCCUAAACUCAAAACCUCUUACAAGUCUAAGAUCAAACAUAAAGUCCUAGCCUGCAAUCUUUGCUCAAAACCUAGAAAUUCCACAUCUCAACAAGCUUACAACAACAUGAGCUAGCAAACCACAACAACCAAAACUACACACGCUGCCAUACACCGCCACAGGCGACGGCAAGUGGGCCCCACGCGCCACCGGCAACCCACGAACCGAGUCAUGUUCCAUACAUCAAACUCUUCAUCUCAACAAGCCCUACAAUAGUCUCAACUAUCACAAAGUCCAAUUUUAACUAAAGAAGGUGGAAUUUACCUCUCAAGUAAAAUGGGUGAUUGAAACCCUAGAAUUUCAAAUCCUCAAUUCAAGUCACCCUCCACACUUCAAAUCGGUUCAAGAGGCUUGGAGGGAUUGAUCCACGUCUCAGAAGCUUAAAAAGCCUCCAAGAGUUGUCGCCGAAGGUGACCGGAAUUAGGAAUUCUAACAAAGAACCCAAAAUGGCGCCACACAGCUGCUUCCUAGGCUUGCUGCACCGCCAGCUGCUCGAAUCUUGCUACCAAACCACUACAGACUUGUAGAGAAUCAAGAGAGCUUUCCAACGGUAUCUCAUUUGCCCAAAUCCGAGCUCGGAUGACCAAGAUAUGGCUGAAAAACGAAAGGAGGUUAGGAGAAGGAGAAAGAUGCGGGAUUUUUCUAAUUUGUUUGGUUUGGGUUUUCUGAUUUUUAUUUUCUAUUUAAAGACAACUUUCAAAAAUUGUUGGAACUUCCGCUGACCAUAACUUUCUCGUACAAACUCCGAUUAACGUGUGUCGUGUAUCUACGAACUCGUAUCGUCGUGCUCUACAACUUUCGUGAAGGAAGUUUCUCAAGAAACCCAACAAAUAAAAAGUCAACUCUAUGACCCUUAAAGAAAAAAGAACCCUUUCGGGUAAAUUAGGCGUCCAAACACUUCUACUCUUCUUUCGAACCUCAAAAACCCACUAACUUCUAACUCGAAAAUUCCCAAUUAAUAAUAAAAACUAUUCUUAAAUUUUCGGGGUAUUACACCCCUCAACCCCAAGCCUAUCUAAACAGAUGCAAACUUCCAAAUAAGGUAAAUCUAAAAAAUGUACUCACUUCCUCUUUUACUCUCGUCAUUACCCAUCUGACUUAACCAUGCAUCGGAGUGUUAUACGUCGGCACAUGCGGUCUAUCCUCUGACUUUUGGUUGUUUUAACAUGGAAAAGGUAAGAAAAGAUACUCAAACUGCAUUCUAAGUGGCACGUUAUCCGUCUGGAUACAAUGAUCAACGACGAAAACAAUUAGUGCUCUCGUUGAGAGUCGAAGUUAAGACAUCCUGUAUGGUCAAAAUUACAGCCACUAAUGUGGAUGAUUCCAGCUCUUCAGAGAUCCUAGGACAUAUCCAUUUCCCUCCUAGAAAUUCUAGACAGAUCCCGUAUCUGACAGACCAAUCUCGCGACAGCAUAUGACUUAAUAAAGCGAGACUUUUUCUCGUUUAAAAAUCGAGUUGCCCUGGAACACCGUGCUAAUGCCGCCCUCCAAGCCUAACUCCAAGAGAUGUAGAAUAAACAACAGAUCCUAGAGGAAACCCUGGACCAAAAGAUAAGCCAUAAAAAAGCUCUUGAAAGGGCUCUUAGAUGUUCACGCCGAGAUCUAAUGAUCCCGGGACAAGCUCCACAAAUAGCGGUAUCAGGAACAGUUCUCGCAAUUAAUGCUAUGUAGCCUUUCUGGUCCCAACCAUAGACUGUGUGUACACCCCUCCUACACGAUCCCUAAAUGGCCCACCCCCAAUUCUCACCUUGAUAAAUCUCGGUCCCAUCCCCAAUAUCUAGCAACAACGUCCACACGAUUUUCAAACUCAGCUCUUGGUACAGCUUAACCAAAGUGUCACCAACUUAGAAUCACGAUUUAAUGCUGACACCACAACAUGGUGCCCUACCCAUGCCAUGAGAACAGGACUCGUUACUUCCCAUAUUUAGGUCAAGAAGAAACCGGAGACCAUUCAAAAUCAAGAAGUAUAACAGUACCGGAGACCCGUAUCAUCAUCUGAGGUUUUUCAGUCCCAACUAGAUUCAACUCGGUAUGUAGAUCCCCAGGCUUGUCACGUCUUCGAAGAAACCUGAGUGAUGAAGCCCUAAGUUGGUUCCUUUAGCUCCCUGCAUGAUCCAUUGACAAUUAUGACCAACUAGUCAACCUAUGUUGUCACACCUCAAUUUUCAAAGGAUAAAUUUCAAAAAUUUGGGCAUGAUAUAACUCACAAUAAUAUAAUUCCCAAGACCUGUUCAACAAACUUAAAGAAGACUAAACUCAAUUGCAGAAAUGUAAUGUAAACACAACUCAACAUCGAGUUAAAUAUUACAUUUCCUUGUUUACAUAAACUUGAAAGUCAAGAAAUGAAAAUACUCGAAUAAGUUUACUAUUGUCUACCAAAUAUAAUAAUAUCAAGUGUACAACAGCUAAAAACCCUGCCACUAUACCUCCGCCUCAACCCUGUUGAUCAUCACCUGCAGGUCUAACCCCUACACCAUGAAUUGGUGCAUUGGGUUGUAAACAACAAACCUAGUAAGUUAAAAAGCCCGUAUGAGUAACUCUAAAAAAUAACUCAACCCAACAUCACAUAAGAUAAAACCGGUACACCAUGAAUUGGUGCAAUGGGUUGUAAACAGCAAACCCGGUAAGUUAAAAAGCUCGUAUGAAUAACUCCCAAAAAUAACUCAACCCAACAUAAGAUAAAACCAGUAAUUCCUGCUUUAGAACUUAGUUCAGGAAUCGUCUCAAAACAAUAAAAUUCAAAAGAGAGUAAAUAGGAGAGCAUAACAAUUCACAAAAUAAUCAAAAUCAUAAGUGAAUCCUGCAAAAAAGAUAGUUCAGGAAUUCCACUAAAAAUCACACAAAUAAGAUUAAAGAAUCUCCUGCAUUAAGCAUAGUUUAGAAGAUAUUCAAAACAAGGAACUUAAAUGACAACAAUUAAGAACAAUGUUAAAACCACAUAACCAAUACUUUUACAAAUAUACAUGUACCCAUGAGUCCCAGAUACCAAUAAGGUAUCUUCCAUGACCUACAACAAACACAUAUACCCAUGAGUCCCAGAUAUUAAUAAAUAUCUCUCAUACCUACAACAACAAUUUAUGUACCCAUGGGUCCCAGAUACCUUAAGGUACCUCUUAUGACCUACACCGACAGACAGACUAGAGCUCUAUUCCUAACCGUAACCAAUCACCUAGCUAAAGGCUUGGAAUCCAGUUUGACAGUCCAAUAUCAAAACACAAAAUAAUAAUAGCAUCAUAACUGUAACCAAUCACCCAAUUAAAGGCUUGGAACCUAGUUUGACUAUCUACACAACAAAUCACAAUAUAGUAGAAUCAUCAUAACCGUAACCAAUCACCAGAUUAAAGAUUUGGAACCUAGUUUGACUAUCUAAACAACGGAUCACAAAAUAAUCAUAUAAAAGGAAAACUUGUUUUAUCUUACCUAUGAGAUGUUGGCAAUCAAGCUCAUAUAUUUAAAAACAAACAAUAGCAUAUUCUUUAAAUUCAACAUCAUCAUCAAAAUGACCAUAAUAAUUUGGUCCAAAUGUGAACCUUGGUGAGAUUUACUCACCUAAAUAAUCCCAUUGCGUCUUCAACACAACAAAAGAGCCAAGCCAAUCAAACUUCACAAUCACCUAAGGUUUUAACCAAUUUGACCGGAAUCGGCCGGAAAAUGCCCUGAAACACCACCACAAACUCAACCUUCAAUCUAAGUUAGCCCCUCGUCGCCGUCGAAAUCGUCGGCUUUCCGGUGAGACAGCAACAACUCUGCCGUUUCGUGGCGGCUUCUAGGGGGUGAGACGGCAAGUGAGACUGCCCCAAAAAUGGAGAGGACGUCCGUGCGAACCCAACGGGAUCGGCGACGUCCAAUUUGGUGGCCGGAUGAAGGAGUUAUGUGCCGGAGAAGAAAGAGAGCAUGGGAGGGUCGAGAGAGAGGAGAGAGAAACUGAAACGGGGUUGGUGCAAAUUUAGGGUUUCUAAAAAUAACCGUCACACAUUUUUCUACUUAUACACAUUUUCAAAACCGGAAACUAAAUUCCUCUGACCAUAACUUUCUCAUACGACAUCCGUUUCACUCGUGCCGCGUGUCUACGAACUCGUAUCGACAAACUCUACAACUUUCAUGAAGGAAGUUAUCGAAAAUAACUUAUGGAUGAAAAGUCAACUCUUGACCCUUCAAAAUAAAACAUUUUCAACAAAGAAAUCUCUUGAACAUCUCUGCUCUUCCUUCGAACCUCAAAACUCACUAACUUCUAACUCGAAAAUUCCCAAAUAUUAUUAGAAACUAAUAUCAAAAUUCCGGGGUAUUACAUAUGUCACACCCCAAACCCGAUGUUGGUGGUUUCCAAGAACUUAACACCGAAUCCAAGGCGUGAACGAGAAAGUAAAAGAAAAUAAAACAAACUUAAAUACAUUUUUAGAAAUCGUCGAAAAUAAAUGUUACAAUAACGAAACCUAUUAGAAAGACAAAAAAAAGGUCUUGCGAUCUACCUAACUAGAAACUUCUGUAAUAUUUAUUGACUCUUGAACACGUCAACAAAACGUCACAAUUAGUUUUUUGGAAAAGACGUGUCCUUGUACGUACCUGAACAAGAAUCUAUAGUAAUGAGCUUACGCUCAGUGGGGCUAAAUCUCUUAAGGUCAUUCUUAGGGUUAAAUUUAGUUUACUCCCCUGAUGGCCAAACCUCUUAAGUUAUCAAAUAAUAUGUUAAAUAAAUAACAACAAUUUGAUGCAUGUAUGCUAAUAAACUCUCCCCACUCAUUACUGACUGAGUACUCCAUACAUCAAAGACAUAUGAGCCUACAAAUCUCAUACCGUGUAGAUGUCUCGAAUAUACAACCUAACAAUCAGUAAUAUUCCAACGCCAGUACCUCUUUUGUUAGUUGUAUUGUUAUACUCAUAAUCUUCAAACCUGAAACCCGUAAGAUCGUUUUAUCAACAUCCACCUUUGAAGAGUUUUGCAUUCCCUGAAAUUGUGCACGUGUUAGCUGACAUGGAUCUUGGAUUCCCCAUGAGAAAACUCAACUACACAAAAUGUAUAUUUUUUUUUCUCUCAAUCCCAUUAUCAUCUCUCCAUAAUCACCAAUCUCAUUAUUCUCACCAUGCAUUAUAUAUACCAAUAAGCAUCGCUGCUCGUACAAUAAAAAUCAACACAUGCUUAACAUUGAAAGUUAAUCACUCAAUGACACACAAUUCUCUGAUUUCAAUUAUAAUCUAAUUAUCAAUUUAUAGAAAGGUUCCCCAAGAGACCCUACCUGGAAUCCGAGUGUUUUCUGAAGCUAAACAAAAUUAGUAACACCGUGACACAUGCUUUCUAAAACCUUUAUCUUUCUGCUUCUAGAAUCCUGCUACUUGCAAUCAAUCCUCGUAAUGAAUCCUUAUUCUGAAAGAGUCGACAUAUCACUUCUAAUUAAUGCGACCAAGUCCUUGAAAUCACUAAGGACACCUAAAUACGUCUCCACCAAUUUCUCCGCACCUUUGAAGUCGACUAUACCAUAGUAUCCCAAUACCACUCCAAACACUAAUCCUAUUCUACUCUGGACUCCCAGAUCCUCAUUUCCAAAUCCACUCCACAAUCCAUAUAAGAGAAACGUAAUCUUCACAUACCACUUCAUCUUCCUUCAAAACACAUAUGUUCAAAAACCACAAUUAUAUAUAUAUUAGCUCCUAUCAUCAUGGUUGGCCGUACUUCCAAUUCGUCAACACACCGAUCUCCAACUUGAAAUUUAAGCAAAGUAACUAAAAUUACCAAACUUCAAAACCAUAUGAAGUCUCGAAAGACAAACUUUAACAAAAUAAAAAUUUGAAUAAUUUUCGAAAGCUACUAAAAACUCAAAGAACAUUUUCCUUUCAAAAAUAGAAAAUCGAAACUCCAAGAUGUUUCAACCUAGCUGGGUUAUGUCGGUGAUGAUGGUCCGGUGAAUCAUCUUCGAGUAGUGGAGGCAGGGGCGUCCAGAGAGGAUCGACCGACAUGGUGUUGUGUUGCCUGGAGGAGUUGAUCCAAUACUGGAUCAAUAUUUGACAAAGGCCACACACCUAGUGUGGUCAUUAGAGGUGUUGCAAUUCCUUUAUGUGUGGCAUUUUCCCUUCAUACUUCACAAAUACCCUUAUUUGCCACACUUACGGGGAAAUACAACACCUCUAAUGCCCACACAAGAUACGUGACAUUUACCCAAUAUUGUAGUAGUGAGCAGAAUUGUUGUUGUUGGGCUCUUAAUGAUGACCUGGUGAUGUCCGAGCUAUAUGUGGACACAUGCGGGAUGUAGUGAUGUCAAAUAAUGGUUUGGGCCUGCAUACUGGAUACAAUGGGCAAAUGUGCAAUCAGAGCAAUGUGACUACACUACGCCAGAUAAUGCAAAUAAUGGUUUGGGCCAUCAUACGACUGGCAAAAUGCGUCAUCUGAUAUAGGUCAAAACCGUUGUUAAUCCAAUUGUUGUUUGAUCAACAUGUCACACAACGGCAAAAAAGAGCUUGUCUGACCAACUUACACACAAUGCUACAAUAAAAACAAUUGUGUGACUCUCGGCAGAUAUCAUCGACAGCUGCCGACACAUGUCGAGCUGCUUUUCAGCAGCUAUCGAUAUAUGUUGAUGAAUUAUGCCGAGAAUCACACAAUAGUUUUUUGUAGAAUACUGUUGUGUGAUUCUCGACAGAUAUUAUUGACAAAUGCCGACACAUACCGAGCUACUUCUCGUCCAAUGAUAUCUGCUGAGAAUCACACAACAGCUUUUUUAGUGAAAACCCUUGUGUGGUUUUCAACUCACACGACUGUUUCCUUUCAAGAGUUGUUGUGUGAAUAUCGACAGAUUUCAUCGACAUAUGUCGAGAUCAUUCCACAUUGCAAUCGACAAUAUCUGUCAACAUUCACACAAUAGUUUUCUUACUGUAAACUAUUGUGUGAGGUGAUAUUCAUACAAUGGGUUUUCUCAAUUUCAUGGUUAUUUGAUUGUUAAAAAGUAGACAUGAUUUUUUCUAAUAGACAUUGUGUGAAUAGAUACUCACACAACGUUACAUUACAGAAUAAUUGUUGUAUAAUCAUUUUCAUCAGACAACGUUGGAUUGCCAUUAAUAUGUUGUAUGUCCUACUAAUUUACCAAAUAAAUAAUUACAACUAAAGCACAUUUAAAUCAUCAAAAUCUGACCAAAAGGAUCCAAACCAUUGUUUUAAAUGAGACUUUAGAAGCAUGCCCUAUUAUCCAUACAAGAAAUUAAAAUACAAAGUUGUACAUGAUACACAAUUUAGUUUGCAUGAAUCCACUUAUAUUAAUCAUCAAAUGACUUGAAUUGCAAAAUGAAAGCUCACUUCUGCAUGUUUUCCGGUCCAGCAAUCCAUGCUCAUAUAAUUGAUAGCUUCCUUAACCUGUGAUAUGACACAAAAAAAUUCACUCAUCAAGCCUCUUAACUAAAAGAAUAUUACAAGAGCAUGUACAAGAAUAAAACUCAUUUCAAAUAUUGGAUAAAUGAAUCAAAUUUCGUAGCAUACUCAAAAGCAUAAACAUUACAAGAUAAAUGAAGUUGGCAUACUUUGUUUCUUUCUUAAGAGGAAUGAGGGCAUUCACAAGAGACUAGAAUUUGGUCUCUUACAAUGAUCAAACUACAAGAGAUCAGCCAUAAACAGGCACAAUUAUAAAUAUGAUCAUAUUUUAAAUAUUGUAUAACAUGUAUUACAUAUCAAAGAAAACCAUAUAUAUAACACACACUUAUCUUAAUAUGUGUUGAAUAUCCAAACAAGUAGCCUAAAGAAACCACCAGUCCAACAUCCACAAUGUACUACUAGUAUUCAAUUAAACAUACCUACAUACUUCAAAGCUAGCUUCUCUUGCUGCUACACAUAUACCUCAAUCCAUAUCAUCCAGAAAAAGUAACCUGCAAAAAAACCACAAGUCUAGCAUCCUCCAUAAUCACUGUAUUAUUUAAAACACAUAAUUUGAAGCAUGAUGCUGCAUAUAUAACUCAACUCCUAUAUGUACUUGCAU